rnacentral:rRNA from 1 species
CCUACGGGUGGCAGCAGUGGGGAAUAUUGCUCAAUGGGCGAAACCCUGAACCAGCAACGCCGCGUGGAGGAUGAAGGUUCUCGGAUUUGAAACCCCUUUUGUUAGAGAAGAUAAUGACGGUAUCUAACGAAUAAGCACCGGCUAACUCCGUGCCAGCAGCCGCGGUAAUACGGAAGGUGCAAGCGUUACUCGGAAUCACUGGGCGUAAAGAGCGCGUAGGCGGGAUAGCAAGUCAGAUGUGAAAGUCUAUGGCUUAACCAUAGAAUUGCAGUUGAAAAUGGUGUUCUUGAGUGUGCGAGAGGUAGGUGGAAUUCUUGGUGUAGCGGUAAAAUGCGUAGAGAUCAAGAAGAAGACUGAUCGCGAAGGCGACCUGCUGGAGCAUAACUGACGCUGAUGCGCGAAAGCGUGGGGAGCAAACAGGAUUAGAUACCCCAGUAGUC